rnacentral:rRNA from 1 species
GAUGAACGCUGGCGGGAGGCCUAACACAUGCAAGCCGAGCGGUAUUGUUUCUUCGGAAAUGAGAGAGCGGCGUACGGGUGCGUAACACGUGUGCAACCUGCCUUUAUCUGGGGGAUAGCCUUUCGAAAGGAAGAUUAAUACUCCAUAAUAUAUUGAACGGCAUCGUUUAAUAUUGAAAGCUCCGGCGGAUAGAGAUGGGCACGCGCAAGAUUAGCUAGUUGGUGAGGUAACGGCUCACCAAGGCGAUGAUCUUUAGGGGGCCUGAGAGGGUGAUCCCCCGCACUGGUACUGAGACACGGACCAGACUCCUACGGGAGGCAGCAGUGAGGAAUAUUGGUCAAUGGGUGCAAGCCUGAACCAGCCAUCCCGCGUGAAGGACGACUGCCCUAUGGGUUGUAAACUUCUUUUGUAUAGGGAUAAACCUACCCUCGUGAGGGUAGCUGAAGGUACUAUACGAAUAAGCACCGGCUAACUCCGUGCCAGCCGCCGCAGUAA